rnacentral:rRNA from 1 species
GACGAACGCUGGCGGCGUGCUUAACACAUGCAAGUCGAGCGGUAAGGCCCUUUCGGGGUACGACGAGCGGCGAACGGGUGAGUAACACGUGGGUGACCUGCCCUCCAGCUCUGGGAGUAAGCCUGGGAAACCGGGUCUAAUACCGGAUAUGACUCCAUGACGCAUGUUGUGGGGUGGAAAGCCUUGUGCGGCUGAGGAUGGGCCCGCGGCCUAUCAGCUUGUUGGUGGGGUGAUGGCCUACCAAGGCGACGACGGGUAGCCGGCCUGAGAGGGCGACCGGCCACACUGGGACUGAGACACGGCCCAGACUCCUACGGGAGGCAGCAGUGGGGAAUCUUGCGCAAUGGGCGAAAGCCUGACGCAGCGACGCCGCGUGAGGGAUGACGGCC